AGAUCAAAUUGUUGGUCGUGCCUUGGUACACACUGGCAUUAUUGGUUUCUCCCUUCUGACGAACCAUGAUAUCAUUAAUUUGGUGUCAUGGGGAAUCAGGACUGUUACUUUGAAAAAAUUAGAGUGUUUAAAGCAGGCUCGCGCUUGAAUACAUUAGCAUGGAAUAAUGAAAUAGGACGUUUGAUUCUAUUUUGUUGGUUUCUAGAAUUGACGUA
rnacentral:rRNA from 1 species